rnacentral:rRNA from 1 species
CCUACGGGAUGCAGCAGUGGGGAAUCUUCCGCAAUGGGCGAAAGCCUGACGGAGCAACGCCGCGUGAUCGAAUGAAGGCCUUCGGGUUGUAACGAUCUGUUGACAGGGACGAAUAAGCCAUGCGAAUAGUUUGGUGUAUGACGGUACCUGUUUAGAAAGCUCCGGCUAACUACGUGCCAGCAGCCGCGGUAAUACGUAGGGAGCAAGCGUUGUCCGGAUUUACUGGGCGUAAAGGGCGCGUAGGUGGGUGCUUAAGUCAGGUGUGAAAGCUCUGGGCUCAACCUUGAGACUGAACUUGAGACUGGGUAUCUUGAGGGCAGGAGAGGAAAGUGGAAUUCGUGGUGUAGCGGUGAAAUGCGUAGAUAUUAGGAGGAACCCCGGUGGCGAAAGCAGCUCUCUGGUCUGUAACUGACGCUGAGGUUCGAAAGCGUGGGUAGCAAACAGGAUUAGAUACCCUAGUAGUC